rnacentral:rRNA from 1 species
ACAUGCAAGUCGAACGAAGUAGCAAUACUUAGUGGCAGACGGGUGAGUAACAUGUGGGUAUCUGCCCUUUGGCCUGGAAUAACACGAGGAAACUUGUGCUAAUACCGGAUAAGUCUUUACGGAGAAAGCUUUAUGCACCAUUGGAUGAGCCUGCACUUGAUUAGUUUGUUGGUGGGGUAAUGGCCUACCAAGACUGUGAUCAAUAGCUGAUUUGAGAGGAUGAUCAGCCACAUUGGGACUGAGACACGGCCCAAACUCCUACGGGAGGCAGCAGUGGGGAAUCUUGCACAAUGGAGGAAACUCUGAUGCAGCGAUGCCGCGUGAGUGAAGAAGGCCUUUGGGUUGUAAAGCUCUUUCGUCGGGGAAGAAAAUGACUGUACCCGAAUAAG